CCAGGGAUCCCAUCAGGAGUCACCAGCCCCUAUCAGCUCCCAUCAGAUCCCACCAGAUCCCAUUAGGUGCCACCAGGCUCUAUCAAUCAGCUCCCAUCAGAUCCCACCAGAUCCCACCAGGUGCCAUCAGAUCCCACUGGGUGCCACCAGGUCCCACCAGAUCCUAUCAGACCCCACCAGAUCCCACCAGAUCUCACCAGGCCCUAUCAGAACCCACCAGAUCCCACCAGGCCCUAUCAACUCCCAUUAGAUCCCACCAGGUGCCACCAGGCCCUAUCAGAUCCCACCCGAUCCCACCAGGCCCCAUCAGAUCCCACCAGGUUCCACCAGGUGCCAUCAGAUCCCACUAGAUCCCACCAGGCCCUAUCAGAUCCCAGCAGAUCCCACCAGGCCCCACCAGAUCCCACCAGGCCCCACCAGAUCCCCCCAGGCCCUAUCAGAUCCCACCAGAUCCCAUCAGGUGCCACCAGGCCCUAUCAGAUCCCAUCAGAUCCCACCAGGCCCCACCAGAUCCCACCAGGUCCCAUCAGAUCCCAACAGGCCCUGUCAGAUCCCAUUAGGUGUCACCAGGCCUUAUCAGAUCCCAUCAGGUGUCACCGGAUCCCAUCAUCAGAUCCCACCAGGCCCUAUCAGAUCCCACUGGAUCCCUUCAGAUCCCACCAGAUCCCAUUAGGUGCCACCCGGCCCUAUCAGCUCCCAUCAGAUCCCACCAGACCCUAUCAG
ensembl:lncRNA